rnacentral:rRNA from 1 species
UACGAAGGGAGCUAGCGUUGUUCGGAAUUACUGGGCGUAAAGCGCGCGUAGGCGGACUGAUCAGUCAGGGGUGAAAUCCCGGGGCUCAACCCCGGAACUGCCUUUGAUACUGUCAGUCUAGAGUCCGGAAGAGGUGAAUGGAACUCCUAGUGUAGAGGUGAAAUUCGUAGAUAUUAGUGAAGAACACCAGUGGCGAAGGCGAUUCACUGGUCCGGUACUGACGCUGAGGUGCGAAAGCGUGGGGAGCAAACAGG